rnacentral:rRNA from 1 species
CCCAGACUCCUACGGGAGGCAGCAGUGGGGAAUAUUGCACAAUGGGGGAAACCCUGAUGCAGCGACGCCGCGUGAGUGAAGAAGUAAUUCGUUAUGUAAAGCUCUAUCAGCAGGGAAGAAAAUGACGGUACCUGAGUAAGAAGCCCCGGCUAACUACGUGCCAGCAGCCGCGGUAAUACGUAGGGAGCGAGCGUUGUCCGGAAUUACUGGGUGUAAAGGGAGCGUAGGCGGGGAUGCAAGUCAGAUGUGAAAACUAUGGGCUCAACCCAUAGCCUGCAUUUGAAACUGUAUUUCUUGAGUGCUGGAGAGGCAAUCGGAAUUCCGUGUGUAGCGGUGAAAUGCGUAGAUAUACGGAGGAACACCAGUGGCGAAGGCGGAUUGCUGGACAGUAACUGACGCUGAGGCGCGAAAGCGUGGGGAGCAAACAGGAUUAGAUACCCCUGUA